CACAUGCAUAGUUGGUGGUGCAUCGGUUUAACAUUCCUCUCGAAAAUCAACAUAUUUCCACCGGUGGCGCUGGUUCGAAUCCAGCUGGGG